UACCGGUGGUUUGUAUACUGG
rnacentral:siRNA from 1 species